rnacentral:rRNA from 1 species
CAGUCGCCGCGGGAAUACGAAGGGGGCUAGCGUUGCUCGGAAUGACUGGGCGUAAAGGGCGCGUAGGCGGAUUGUUUAGUUAGGCGUGAAAUUCCUGGGCUUAACCUGGGGACUGCGCUUAAUACAGGCAGUCUAGAGUGAGGAAGAGGGUUGUGGAAUUCCCAGUGUAGAGGUGAAAUUCGUAGAUAUUGGGAAGAACACCGGUGGCGAAGGCGGCAACCUGGUCCUUGACUGACGCUGAGGCGCGAAAGCGUGGGGAGCAAACAGGAUUAGAGACCCCGGUAGUCCCUGUCUCUUAUAC